AGCUAGUUGGUGGGGUAAUGGCCCACCAAGGCGACGAUCAGUAGCUGGUCUGAGAGGAUGAUCAGCCACACUGGGACUGAGACACGGCCCAGACUCCUACGGGAGGCAGCAGUGGGGAAUUUUCCGCAAUGGGCGAAAGCCUGACGGAGCAACGCCGCGUGAGGGAUGAAGGCCUCUGGGCUGUAAACCUCUUUUCUCAAGGAAGAAGACCUGACGGUACUUGAGGAAUAAGCCACGGCUAAUUCCGUGCCAGCAGCCGCGGUAAUACGGGAGUGGCAAGCGUUAUCCGGAAUUAUUGGGCGUAAAGCGUCCGCAGGCGGCCUUGUAAGUCUGUUGUUAAAGCGUGGAGCUUAACUCCAUUUAAGCAAUGGAAACUACAAGGCUGGAGUGUGGUAGGGGCAGAGGGAAUUCCCGGUGUAGCGGUGAAAUGCGUAGAUAUCCGGAAGAACACCAGUGGCGAAGGCGCUCUGCUGGGCCAUAACUGACGCUCAUGGACGAAAGCCAGGGGAGCGAAAGGGAUUAGAUACCCCUGUAGUCCUGGCCGUAAACGAUGAACACUAGGUGUCGGGGGAAUCGACCCCCUCGGUGUCGUAGCCAACGCGUUAAGUGUUCCGCCUGGGGAGUACGCACGCAAGUGUGAAACUCAAAGGAAUUGACGGGGGCCCGCACAAGCGGUGGAGUAUGUGGUUUAAUUCGAUGCAACGCGAAGAACCUUACCAGGGUUUGACAUCCUGCGAACCCCUGAGAAAUCGGGGGGUGCCUUCGGGAGCGCAGAGACAGGUGGUGCAUGGCUGUCGUCAGCUCGUGUCGUGAGAUGUUGGGUUAAGUCCCGCAACGAGCGCAACCCACGUCUUUAGUUGCCAGCAUUCAGUUGGGCACUCUAGAGAGACCGCCGGUGAUAAACCGGAGGAAGGUGUGGAUGACGUCAAGUCAUCAUGCCCCUUACAUCCUGGGCUACACACGUACUACAAUGCUACGGACAAAGGGCAGCAAGCUCGCGAGAGUUAGCAAAUCCCAUAAACCGUGGCUCAGUUCAGAUCGUAGGCUGCAACUCGCCUACGUGAAGGAGGAAUCGCUAGUAAUCGCAGGUCAGCAUACUGCGGUGAAUACGUUCCCGGGCCUUGUACGCACCGCCCGUCACACCAUGGAAGUUGGCCAUGCCCGAAGUCGUUACUCCAACCCUUGUGGAGGAGGACGCCGAAGGUGGGGCUGAUGACUGGGGUGAAGUCGUAACAAGGUAGCCGUACCGGAGGUGCGGCUG
rnacentral:rRNA from 1 species